rnacentral:rRNA from 1 species
UACGUAGGGGGGCAAGCGUUGUCCGGAGUUACUGGGCGUAAAGCGCACGCAGGCGGUCUCUUAAGUUUGGAGUGACAGUUGGUGGCUUAACUGCCAAAGUGCUUCGAAAACUGAAAGACUUGAGGGAUUCAGAGGGACACGGAAUUCCGGGUGGAGUGGUGAAAUGCGUAGAGAUCCGGAGGAAUACCAAAGGCGAAGGCAGUGUCCUGGCUGGCAUCUGACGCUGAGGCGCGAAAGCUAGGGGAGCGAACAGG